rnacentral:rRNA from 1 species
AACGAACGCUGGCGGCAUGUCUAACACAUGCCAGUCGAACGAGACCUUCGGGUCUAGUGGCGCACGGGUGCGUAACGCGUGGGAACCUGCCCUUAGGUUCGGAAUAACUCCCCGAAAGGGGUGCUAAUACCGGAUAAUGUCUUCGGACCAAAGAUUUAUCGCCUUUGGAUGGGCCCGCGUUGGAUUAGCUAGUUGGUAGGGUAAAAGCCUACCAAGGCGACGAUCCAUAGCUGGUCUGAGAGGAUGAUCAGCCACACUGGGACUGAGACACGGCCCAGACUCCUACGGGAGGCAGCAGUGGGGAAUAUUGGACAAUGGGCGAAAGCCUGAUCCAGCAAUGCCGCGUGAGUGAUGAAGGCCUUAGGGUUGUAAAGCUCUUUUACCCGGGACGAUAAUGACAGUACCGGGAGAAUAAGCUCCGGCUAACUCCGUG